CCCUGCCCUCAUGAGGAAGGAGCAACAUAGCACUGAGCAAGACAAAGUCCCAACUCUCAAGGAGCUUAGGUUCAGCUGUAGGAAGGCAAAUAUUAUACAAUGAUAUCACAUAAUGCCAGAUGAUAAUACGGGCUAUGACAAAAAUUAAAAUAGAGUGACAUGACAUAGUGACUACCCUUGAUAGGGUGGACAGGGAAAGUCAUGAAACAUUUAAGGGCAGGCAUAAAUGACAAGAAGAGACUAGCUAUGGCAAACUGCAUUUUCCAAAGAUGGCUUGAGCAGUAUCUCCCAUCACAUUCACUCUUAUGCAGUGUGACUCACCACUCCUUCAGCAAGAGAUGGAGUCUAUUUCUCCAGCCUUGAUUCUGGGUGGGACCUGUGAUUGCUUUGACCAAUGGAAUAAGGCAGGAGUGAUGCUGUGUUAUUUCUGGAUGUAACCUUUAAUUACUCCAGUAGCUUUUGCUUCUGGGUUCUUCGGACUCUGUUUCUUAGGCCACUUCCUCUUGGAAUCCAGCUGCCAUGCUGGGAGAAUUCUAAGCCACAUGGAGUGGCCAACCAUGUAACUGGGCUCUCAGCCAACAGCAAGCGUCAACUGCCCACCAUAUGAAUGCGCUGUCUUCCAUCCAGCCCUCGAGCCUUCAGAUGACUGCAGCCCUAGCCCCCAUCUGACUGCAGCUGCAGAAAGAAACACUCAACUGGGCACAGUCAACCCCGGAAACAUAAUAAAUUACUGUUUUGUUUUUGUUUUUGAGAUGGGGUCUCACUCUAUCACCCAGGCGG
rnacentral:lncRNA from 10 species